UACAGAGGGUGCGAGCGUUGUUCGGAAUUAUUGGGCGUAAAGGGCGCGUAGGCGGUGCGGUAAGUCACCUGUGAAAUCUCCUGGCUCAACUGGGAGCUUGCAGGCGAAACUGCCGUGCUGGAGUGUGGGAGAGGUGAGUGGAAUUCCCGGUGUAGCGGUGAAAUGCGUAGAUAUCGUUUGGAACGCCAAUGGUGAAAACAGCUCGCUGGGGAUGUGCCGACGCUGAGACACGAAAGCCAGGGGAGCGAACGGG
rnacentral:rRNA from 1 species